rnacentral:tRNA from 1 species
UAGGGAGACCUACACCCCUCAGGAAUCGAAAAACACACAGUUAAAUAGAUACUGGGAUGGUCAAACCUAGGUCGGUCGCAGACAUUUGCAAUUGUUGAAAGCUUUCAAACUAUGAUUUGGUUCGAUAUGGGCUAUUAGCUCAGGUGGUUAGAGCGCACCCCUGAUAAGGGUGAGGUCCCUGGUUCGAGUCCAGGAUGGCCCACCUGAAGGAGUGCUGAGUACCAAGUGCUGAGUACUGAGUAAAAAAUACUUAGUAUUGAGGAGUUAGGAAUUCAGGACUACUAUAGUGGGAGUAAAUUUGAGAAAGCGCGUGGUGAGAACAAAAAACUCAGCACUCGGCACUCAUAACUCAACACUGUAUUGGGGGUUUAGCUCAGUUGGUAGAGCGCCUGCUUUGCAAGCAGGAUGUCAGCGGUUCGAGUCCGCUAACCUCCACCUGUGGCGAUUGCCAAAAUGAAAAUAAGAGAAAUCAGCAACAUGGCUUAAAAGCCAGACUGCUGAGUAAAAUCUCAGCCAGAACCUUGAAAACUGCAUAGUAACGCAAAAUUAGCAGGCAGACACAGACAUUCUUUUAUGGAUGUUGAGUGAAUGCAAAUGUAACACCAAAAGUAUGAGU